GGGCCGGGAGGCAGAACGGGGGCGCGGGAGAACGGGCCCGAGGGGCUGGAGUCUAAGAGCCCGCGGGGCGAGAAGGAAGGGCAGGGGCAGCCACCGAAGCGGCCCCGGCCAUGUGGGGGCCACGGUCACGGGGGAGGGCAGAGAGGCGGAAGGGAGGGCCGGCACGGGGAGGAGGGGAAGGAGCGGGCAGACUGGCCGGCAGAGCCGGGACAGCUGGGCAGCCGGUGGGGCGGGCUCCUGCUCCCCAACGGGGGCGAUGCAUUUUGAGUGCGCAGUUAGCGGCCUCCCCACUCCGACCCGGCCCGCGGCUCCCGGGGCCGGAUCUGCGAGCGAGCCGGACAACAGCUCCCGUCUCCUCCCUCGCUCCGGAGCCAGGUGUCUGUCACCUGAAUGAUUGACUGCUUCAGACGUUUGCAGCAGAGUAAAUUCCAGCAAGAGAAAAGAGAGAGAGAAGGCUUGGAAGGGACGUACAAUGAUCAUCUAGUCCAACUGCUUGACUACUUCUAAUAGUUCUAAUCUCAAGGAGUUUUUACAGACUGGAAGACAACUUUGGUUAUGCUUCUCAUUUUUAUUUUGAGUAUCAGCUAACCUGCUCCUAAUGAAGCAGAAAUAUAAACUUCAUUGAUGCUUAGUAAAUGACAUGUUGCAUUUUUGUUUGUUUGUUUUUCUGCAGUGGUUUGAUAUUUUGUGAUGAUGUAUAUAGAGGCAGCUGUUCACAGACACAACAUGUAUAUUGAAACAAAUUGGUGUCUCACAUGAACAUUUUUCAUAUUGGAACACUGCUGUUUUGGGCUCAACUUCUGAAAUUGUUUCUCACAAUAUUUCUGC